AGGCUUUGUUCAGCAUUUUGGCAUCCUGAUCCACAUCAAAACCUUGAUGACUUCUCGCUUUGGCCUGGAGAAAAUAAUUGAAAAGAGACAAGAAACCCCUAAAGCCAACAUUGUGUGUGAUUGUGUCUCAAAUGCAGCCAACUUUGAGUGGGAGGCUUGUUUUUAAAGGAAGAAGAUAGCGAUUCUUCUGAAAACAACCCACACAAGAGAAGAGUCAUCUAGCUAAAUCUGAGCAGAUUCUCCUGUGGAUCUUAUUUUUCUGUCUAUGCACAAAGCUCACUGAGCACAAGUUCAUGUCCUCUGGGCUAAGCAAACUCUGAAUAUUGCUUGAUUAGCAAAUGAUAGUAAUCGCGAUUAUUACUGCUCCAAAUAGGUUAGUCACAAACACGAUAUCUUCAGUUGAAAAGAAUCAUUAAUGAUGGCAAAGGGAUUGGGGGAAAGCGCAAAACAAAAAAGGUAAUUUUCAAUUCUCAGAAUUGGCUAGGAAGCCCUCUGUAUCACAGCACCUUGGAAAAUGUAAUUUCCUGGCCAGUAUCCUACUGGCUUUGGAGUAUUGUUUGUCAAGCAUCUGUCUGUGCAUCCUGGUCUGUGGACAUAUCCUUGGGACUUUGUAACUUUCCUAGUAGGCUUUUAAAAUAUGUAUUUACUGCUGGUAAUAACUUAAAAACUAAAUAUAAAGCAUAUUGAGUCAUUAGGAUGACCAAGGCUAGCACAUGAUUUCAACGCCUGCAUUUGUGUUUCUAUUUAUGAAUGUGUAUAUGCCGAAUAGCCAUAUUUUAAUUGUUGCAAGCGAAUGAUAAAAGAACAGAGAACAGAGGGAGGUUUAAUACAAAAAUCACACAUUUUAGCCAAGAGAAGCCCCGAUUGUUUUAUAGGGAGUCUUACAAACAAAAGUUUCUCAGUUUUGGAUAGAGAAACAUAACAGUAGAACUAAGAAAUCAUGCACCACAUCAUAUUUUAGACACGCUGCAACACAGAAGAAACCACAUUAUAGCCAUCAGGACCGUUUUAACAUUGAGUGUAGUCAUUUAAUCCCGGCAAAAUAACAUGGUCUAUUAUGCUAAAUCAAUAACAUGCAUUUAUUUGCACAUUAGCAACUUGUAUUUUACUAGUAUUUAAUUUUAUAUAUUUGUUUUGGUUAUGUAACUGCUUCAAAACUACCAGCAUUAUAGUUUGAAGCUUGUACAUGUUCAAGUAACUUUCUAAUACGAGUAAUUCAAGUCAUUACCAGGACAGUUUUCUGUCCAAAAAGGUUUUGCAUUUACUUAUUUUGAAACACAGUCUUAGAACAUAUUCAUUCCUUGUGCAAUGUUAAAUUCCAUUAGUAUUUUCUAAAAUGUCCUACUGGCCAUACUAUAGCACCAAGCUCUCCAUUGUAAGGCACUAUUAAGGGGACACCGAUGGGAAUGGAAACUGAGCUCCUAGAUUACAUUUUUACAUUAGCUACAAACGUUGAAACAGACAUUUGUUUGUGUGGGGAAAGAUUUCUUUGCUUGGAAGUAAUGCCCGAUGAUGACAUUUUCAGGCCAGAGGAUUGUGGAGGAUCCACUGUGACAAGUCAUUGGUGAAUAAUACUGGGCCCACGAGAGAGCCCAGUCAUACCUAUGAUUUGGAGGGAAAAUCAGUGCUUACAGGCUGU